AUGAUCAGGUUGAUAGGUCUGAGGUGGAAGUGUGGCGACACAUGGAGCUGACAGAUACUAAUCGAUCGAGGACUUAACCAUUUU
rnacentral:rRNA from 1 species